CANUGGGGGAACCCUGAUGCAGCAACGCCGCGCUGAGUGAAGAAGUAUUUCGGUAUGUAAAGCUCUAUCAGCAGGAAAGAAAAUGACGGUACCUGACUAAGAAGCCCCGGCUAACUACGUGCCAGCAGCCGCGGUAAUACGUAGGGGGCAAGCGUUAUCCGGAUUUACUGGGUGUAAAGGGAGCGUAGACGGCAAGGCAAGUCUGAUGUGAAAACCCAGGGCUUAACCCUGGGACUGCAUUGGAAACUGUCUGGCUCGAGUGCCGGAGAGGUAAGCGGAAUUCCUAGUGUAGCGGUGAAAUGCGUAGAUAUUAGGAAGAACACCAGUGGCGAAGGCGGCUUACUGGACGGUAACUGACGUUGAGGCUCGAAAGCGUGGGGAGCAAACAGGAUUAGAUACCCUGGUAGUCCAAGGGCGAAUUC
rnacentral:rRNA from 1 species